rnacentral:rRNA from 1 species
GUGGGGAAUUUUGGACAAUGGGGGCAACCCUGAUCCAGCAAUGCCGCGUGCAGGAAGAAGGCCUUCGGGUUGUAAACUGCUUUUGUACGGAACGAAACGGUCCUGGUUAAUACCUGGGGCUAAUGACGGUACCGUAAGAAUAAGCACCGGCUAACUACGUGCCAGCAGCCGCGGUAAUACGUAGGGUGCAAGCGUUAAUCGGAAUUACUGGGCGUAAAGCGUGCGCAGGCGGUUUUGUAAGACAGGCGUGAAAUCCCCGGGCUCAACCUGGGAAUGGCGCUUGUGACUGCAAGGCUGGAGUGCGGCAGAGGGGGAUGGAAUGCCGCGUGUAGCAGUGAAAUGCUUAGAUAUGCGGAGGAACACCGAUGGCGAAGGCAAUCCCCUGGGCCUGCACUGACGCUCAUGCACGAAAGCGUGGGGAGCAAACAGGAUUAGAUACCCUUGUAGUCC